rnacentral:rRNA from 2 species
GCAGCGGGUCCUUCGGGAUGCCGGCGAGCGGCGGACGGGUGAGUAAUGCCUAGGAAUCUGCCUGGUAGUGGGGGAUAACUCGGGGAAACUCGAGCUAAUACCGCAUACGUCCUACGGGAGAAAGCGGGGGAUCUUCGGACCUCGCGCUACCAGAUGAGCCUAGGUCGGAUUAGCUAGUUGGUGAGGUAAAGGCUCACCAAGGCGACGAUCCGUAGCUGGUCUGAGAGGAUGAUCAGCCACACUGGAACUGAGACACGGUCCAGACUCCUACGGGAGGCAGCAGUGGGGAAUAUUGGACAAUGGGCGAAAGCCUGAUCCAGCCAUGCCGCGUGUGUGAAGAAGGUCUUCGGAUUGUAAAGCACUUUAAGUUGGGAGGAAGGGCAGUAAGCUAAUACCUUGCUGUUUUGACGUUACCGACAGAAUAAGCACCGGCUAACUUCGUGCCAGCAGCCGCGGUAAUACGAAGGGUGCAAGCGUUAAUCGGAAUUACUGGGCGUAAAGCGCGCGUAGGUGGUUUGAUAAGUUGGAUGUGAAAGCCCCGGGCUCAACCUGGGAAUUGCAUCCAAAACUGUCUGACUAGAGUAUGGCAGAGGGUGGUGGAAUUUCCUGUGUAGCGGUGAAAUGCGUAGAUAUAGGAAAGGAACACCAGUGGCGAAGGCGACCACCUGGGCUA